UAGGAAGUGAUGUAAUUCCGUCUGGGCCUGUCAAGCAAGCAAUGAUUGCAACAGAAAGGAGGAGGAAAAAAAAGUUGCUCUUCAAGCACUCCCUCGCUGAAGCACCUUCAUGCUGUAGGGUGCUUCAGCUGACUGUUUGAAGGUAUUUUCUCAGCUGUAAACAAUUCAUAGGAAGAUAAUAAAAUCUGAAAAACACAUUCUUUCGGUAAUACUCGACUAUAAAAAACCCACCAGCAUAUCCAAACUGUAAUGCUCCUGUACAGAAAGUUGUUGAUGCUCCUGAAGGCACUUUGCCUGCUGUUCUAUGCCAGUGGAAACUAGGGCUGAGGCAAUGAAGCAUAGAUGGUUGUUUUAAAAUAGAUCUAGACGUAUUUCUGAAACACAAUUAAAGAAAAUGCAAUUAAAGUAUUUUCUAUGGUGCUAUGUUGUUAAUACUGGUUUGACCACCACAGAUGCUAAUAUGGGAUAUGUCUCUUUGUCAGUGUGACUGUACUAAGCACAGUGAUAGCUAACUCUAUGAGUUUUCUACAGUCUUUGCAAUACCAUGGACACUAUUUCAGGAAUUUGAAACUUCUGCCUGAUAUCUGAAAUCAUUCAGAUACCACACUGAAACCUGAGAAAUCAUGUACCUGCACCCUCAUUUUCAGUAGGCAGUGUGAGCAGCAUCUAGCCCACAGUUCUUAUCUCUCUGAAAACAGUGCCCUGUCCCAACAUGUAGUGUAUUCAGCCACUGACAGGUCUUCAUGGAGGUGAUAACAUUUUUUGUGUGAUAUUAAUCCAAAAUGCCACCAUUUACAACCCACAGAGGGAUAUGCUGGGCUAUGUGGCAGGAAGCCCCACUUCUCAGCACCCUGUGUUUAAAUCAAACUUUCAACUUAGUAGAGCUGACUGUAGUGCUGCAAAGCUACCCCA